GUCAACUACCCCUCCCCAGAUCAGAGAUUUAGGAAGGGGCUUGAAAAAGCCUCUGUAGAGGGGAUAGGAGAUUAGCUUAAUGCAAUGUCCUCUCAUAGGGUGAGGGCAAGUUGAGCUACGUUCGGGGCCGAGUGUCUGACAAAUACACCUUGGGGUGCCUCCCAAGCCACCAGGCUCUGGAAGUCCAAGCCGGACGAAACACGCUGACGCCGCCAACCCAAUGGCAUGCAACAUCGCCUUGGAUCCUCUAAUGCCUGCCCCAACAUUGGCGAUAGGAAAUAACUCACCCCUGGCAAGGUGA
rnacentral:sRNA from 1 species